CCUUUAUGUGGUUAAUGUGGUUAAUGGCCUCUAGGUUUCUGGGCUUAUGUCCAAGUACCGGCCUCUAUGAGGUCACUUGUUCCUCAAAUGUAGCAUAGUGGGUUGAUAUCAAAGAACGGGCUGCUAUGAGGUCACUAGCUCAGCACAUACAACAUGCUGGGUUGGUAAUGGUCAAAGCACUGACACAGAGUUCCAGCUACAGCACUUCCAGGCUCCGGGCUGAAGCCAAGCGGGACUUUGUCGGGAUACUAGCUCGGUAUCUCCAUCUUCCUAGCAUGAUGUCUGGACACAGGCCUCAGGUGUCGGGCACAGCACCACAACCUUGCUGGGGCCAGUGAACAUCCAGCAAGUUCUAGAGUCUUUGACUGUGAAUGCUUUGGAUAAGCACAAGGACAGCAUUUAUGGAAGACGUCGUACUAUAGAGGUGAAUGCCACAUCAGUUCAAAGACGACCUUGCGAACAGACAGUACUGAUUCUA